ensembl:rRNA 5S_rRNA 5S ribosomal RNA
GUCUCAGGCCGUAUCAGCCUGAAGGCGCCUGAUCUCGUCUGAUCUCGGAAGCUAAGCAGGGUCGGGCCUGGUUAGUAUCUUGGAUGGGAGACCACCUGGGAAUCCCGGGUGCUCGAGGCU